CCGCGGUAUUUUGUCCGUGCUAAGGUAGCAUAAUCAUUAGUUUUUUAAUUGAAAGCUGGAAUGAAGGGUUGGAUGAGCAAAUAACUGUCUCUAAAUUAAUUAUAAUUGAAUUUUAUUUUUAAGUUAAAAAGCUUAAAUUUAUUUAAAAGACGAGAAGACCCUAUAGAGUUUUAUAAAAUAUAUAUAUAUAAAAAAAUUAAAGAAUUAAAAAUUUUUUAUAUUAAUUUUAUUUAAUUGGGGUGAUUUAAAAAUUUAAUAAACUUUUUUAUUUUUUUUACUAUAGAUUAAUAAAUAUUUGAUCCAAUUAUUUUGAUUAUAAGAAAAAAUUACCUUAGGGAUAACAGCGUUAUUUUAUUUGAGAGUU
rnacentral:rRNA from 1 species